rnacentral:rRNA from 1 species
AUGACCAUAGAUCGAACCUAUCCUAUUUUUACAGUGUGAUGGCUGGCUAUUCAUGGACUAGCUGUACCUACUUUUUUUUCUUGGGAGGGGACACUGCCACCAUGGCUGCUAGCAUUCCCUCUCUCAGAUCAUGAAAUGUAUGGGAGUGAGACUAAGAGAAAUACGAGAAAGGAGACAAUUACUAGCGUAUUAGGGGAAUGA